rnacentral:rRNA from 1 species
GACGAACGCUGGCGGCGUGCCUAAUACAUGCAAGUCGAACGCAGUGGGGACGGGUGAGUAACACGUGGGUCACCUCCCAUCAGAGGGGAUAACACUUGGAAACAGGUGCUAAACCGAUACUGAUUGAUAGCGCCGCGGUGCAUUAGCUAUUUGGUGAGGUAACGGCUCACCAAGGCCACGAUGCAUAGCCGGCCUGAGAGGGGGAGCGGCCACACUGGGACUGAGACACGGCCCAGACUCCUACGGGAGGCAGCAGUGGGGAAGCUUGGGCAAUGGACGAAAGUCUGACCGAGCAACGCCGCGGGAGUGAAGAAGGUUUUCGGGUUGUAAAACUCUGUUGUUCGAGAAGCGGUAUCUAACGAAGAAGCCCCGGCUAACUACGUGCCAGCAGCCGCGGUAAUUC